GGUCUAGCGGUCUAGGUUUAUGAUACUCGCUUUGGGUGCGAGUGGUCCCGGGUUCGAAUCCCAACUGGGCCA
rnacentral:tRNA from 1 species